rnacentral:rRNA from 1 species
GAUGAACGCUGGCGGCGUGCCUAACACAUGCAAGUCGAACGGAGUCCAGCCUUUAAGACCUUCGGGUCAAAGAGGGGAAGACUGAGUGGCGGACGGGUGAGUAACACGUGGGCAACCUGGCUCAUAGAGGGGGAUAACAGAGAGAAAUUUCUGCUAAUACCGCAUAAGCACACACUGCCGCAUGCCGAGGGGGAAAAGGGAAUCGCCAUGAGAUGGACCCGCGUCUGAUUAGCCAGUUGGCAGGGUAAGAGCCUACCAAAGCGACGAUCAGUAGCCGAUCUGAGAGGAUGAACGGCCACAUUGGGACUGAGACACGGCCCAAACUCCUACGGGAGGCAGCAGUGGGGGAUAUUGCACAAUGGGGGGAACCCUGAUGCAGCGACGCCGCGUGAGUGAAGAAGUAUUUCGGUAUGUAAAGCUCUAUCAGCAGGGAAGAUAAUGACAGUACCUGAAUAAGAAGCCCCGGCUAACUACGUG